AAAACGGCUCUUUUAAGAGCCACCAAAUCUUUCAAAAAGAAUAUG
rnacentral:ncRNA from 1 species